AGUGAUCGCUGGCGGCAGGCCUAACACAUGCAAGUCGAACGGCAGCACAGGAGAGCUUGCUCUCUGGGUGGCGAGUGGCGGACGGGUGAGGAAUAUAUCGGAAUCUACCCUUUCGUGGGGGAUAACGUAGGGAAACUUACGCUAAUACCGCCUACGAACGGAGGUUGAAAGCGGCGGACCGCAAGGCCUCGCGCGGAUGGAUGAGCCGAUAUCCGAUUAGCUAGUUGGCGGGGUAAAGGCCCACCAAGGCGACGAUCGGUAGCUGGUCUGAGAGGAUGAUCAGCCACACUGGAACUGAGACACGGUCCAGACUCCUACGGGAGGCAGCAGUGGGGAAUAUUGGACAAUGGGCGCAAGCCUGAUCCAGCCAUGCCGCGUGUGUGAAGAAGGCCUUCGGGUUGUAAAGCACUUUUGUUGGGAAAGAAAAGCGGUCGGUUAAUACCCGGUCGUUCUGACGGUACCCAAAGAAUAAGCACCGGCUAACUUCGUGCCAGCCGCCGCGGUAA
rnacentral:rRNA from 1 species